UACGUAGGGUGCAAGCGUUAAUCGGAAUUACUGGGCGUAAAGGGCGCGUGGCGGCCGCCUAAGUCAGACGUGAAAUCCCUCGGCUCAACCGGGGAACUGCGUCUGAUACUGGGUGGCUUGAAUUCGGGAGAGGGAUGCGGGAAUUCCAGGUGUAGCGGUGAAAUGCGUAGAUAAUCUGGAGGAACACCGGUGGCGAAGGCGGCGAUCCUGGA
rnacentral:rRNA from 1 species